rnacentral:rRNA from 1 species
AGUUUGAUCCUGGCUCAGGACGAACGCUGGCGGCGUGCUUAACACAUGCAAGUCGAGCGGUAAGGCCCUUCGGGGUACACGAGCGGCGAACGGGUGAGUAACACGUGGGUAACCUGCCCUGCACUUUGGGAUAACCUCGGGAAACCGGGGCUAAUACCGGAUAUGACAUGCCAUCGCAUGGUGGUGUGUGGAAAGUUCCGGCGGUGUGGGAUGGGCCCGCGGCCUAUCAGCUUGUUGGUGGGGUGAUGGCCUACCAAGGCGACGACGGGUAGCCGGCCUGAGAGGGCGACCGGCCACACUGGGACUGAGACACGGCCCAGACUCCUACGGGAGGCAGCAGUGGGGAAUAUUGCGCAAUGGGCGAAAGCCUGACGCAGCGACGCCGCGUGAGGGAUGACUGCCUUCCGGGUUGUAAACCUCUUUCAG